rnacentral:rRNA from 1 species
CAACCAUAAAAUUGCCAUUGAAACUGGGAGACUUGAGUAUGUUUGAGGUAGGCGGAAUGCGUGGUGUAGCGGUGAAAUGCAUAGAUAUCACGCAGAACUCCGAUUGCGAAGGCAGCUUGCCAAGCCAUAACUGUCACUGAAGCACGAAAGCGUGGGUAUCAAACAGGAUUAGAUACCCUGGUAGUCCACGCAGUAAACGAUGAUUACUAGGAGUUUGCGAUAAAAUGUAAGCUCUACAGCGAAAGCGUUAAGUAAUCCACCUGGGGAGUACGCCGGCAACGGUGAAACUCAAAGGAAUUGACGGGGGCCCGCACAAGCGGAGGAACAUGUGGUUUAAUUCGAUGAUACGCGAGGAACCUUACCCGGGUUUGAACGCAGUCCGACCGCCGAUGAAAGUCGGCUUCUAGCAAUAGCGGAUUGCGAGGUGCUGCAUGGUUGUCGUCAGCUCGUGCCGUGAGGUGUCGGCUUAAGUGCCAUAACGAGCGCAACCCUUGCCGUUAGUUACUAACAAGUUAUGUUGAGGACUCUAGCGGGACUGCCAGCGUAAGCUGUGAGGAAGGCGGGGAUGACGUCAAAUCAGCACGGCCCUUACAUCCGGGGCGACACACGUGUUACAAUGGCGUGGACAAAGAGCAGCCACUUGGCGACAAGGAGCUAAUCUCCAAACCACGUCUCAGUUCGGAUCGGAGUCUGCAACUCGACUCCGUGAAGCUGGAUUCGCUAGUAAUCGCGCAUCAGCCAUGGCGCGGUGAAUACGUUCCCGGGCCUUGUACACACCGCCCGUCAAGCCAUGGGAGCCGGGGGUACCUGAAGUCCGUAACCGCGAGGAUCGGUCUAGGGUAAAACUGGUGACUGGGGCUAAGUCGUAACAAGGUAACCA